UACGUAGGGCGCAAGCGUUGUCCGGAAUUAUUGGGCGUAAAGAGCUCGUAGGUGGCGUGUCGCGUCUGCCGUGAAAGCCCAUGGCUUAACUGUGGGUCUGCGGUGGAUACGGGCAGGCUGGAGGCUGGUAGGGGCAAGCGGAAUUCCUGGUGUAGCGGUGAAAUGCGCAGAUAUCAGGAGGAACACCGGUGGCGAAGGCGGCUUGCUGGGCCAGUUCUGACGCUGAGGAGCGAAAGCGUGGGGGGGAGCGAACAGG
rnacentral:rRNA from 1 species